rnacentral:misc_RNA from 1 species
GAUGAAGAACGUAGCGAAAUGCGAUACUUGGUGUGAAUUGCAGAAUCCCGUGAACCAUCGAGUCUUUGAACGCAAGUUGCGCCCGAAGCCUCGGCUAAGGGCACGUCUGCCUGGGCGUCACGCAUCGCGUCUCCCCCAAAUCGCCAAGGCGGAGGGGAAGGAAGAUGGCUUCCCGUGCCUCACCCGGGCGCGGUUGGCCUAAAUUUGGAGCCCGCGGCACUUAGCUCUCGCGGCGAUAGGUGGUGAACAAGGCCUUGGCCGUGCAAACAACCCGCUGCGAAGCUCUAUGUCACGUGCGCUCGUCGGACCCUUUGAAGUUGCCUUUGGUGACUUAAAACCUUUGCGACCCCAGGUCAGGCGGGGCUACCCGCUGAAUUUAAGCAUAUCAAUAAGCGGAGGA